CGACCGUUGAUCGGCCGAUUGGACGCGGCGAAGGCAGGUAGCUCAUUUGGUCUUCGGGCCUCACGAGAACGUACAGUCUCGCCGUCCGCAUCGGUCGCAAGGUCGAGGAAAGAUGACCACGUUCUGCGCCUGCUCGCCCUUCGGGGCUGGGGCUGGAGCCGCCGGACUCCCGCUCGUGCGGCGUACGGGGACUGUCCUCAGUGCCCGCUCGCUCGUGCGGUCGAGGAAGGCCGGAUCGCCUCUCAGGCGCACGGGGUCUGCCAACUUGGCCGGGCGCCUUUUCGACCCGUCUUGAAACACGGACCAAGAAGUCUAACGGACACGCAAGUCGAAGGGCCGUAUACGAAGCCCCAAGGCGCAAUGAAAGUAAAGGUCGGCAUAGGUCGGCCCAGGUGGGAUCCUUAACCCUAUGGUUUGAGGCGCACCACCGCCCCGUCUCGUCCGCUUUGCUCGGUGAGGCGGAGGAAGAGCGUGUACGCUAGGACCCGAAAGAUGGUGAACUAUGCCCGA
rnacentral:rRNA from 1 species